rnacentral:rRNA from 1 species
UACGAAGGGGGCUAGCGUUGCUCGGAAUCACUGGGCGUAAAGCGCACGUAGGCGGCUUGCUAAGUCAGGGGUGAAAUCCUGGAGCUCAACUCCAGAACUGCCUUUGAUACUGGCGACCUUGAGUCCGGGAGAGGUGAGUGGAACUGCGAGUGUAGAGGUGAAAUUCGUAGAUAUUCGCAAGAACACCAGUGGCGAAGGCGGCUCACUGGCCCGGUACUGACGCUGAGGUGCGAAAGCGUGGGGAGCGAACAGG